GGAAAGGGUAGCUCAACUGGAAGAGCCUGCACAUUCAAUGCAGAGGUGAGAGUUCGAGUCUUUCCCCUUUCCACC
rnacentral:tRNA from 1 species